rnacentral:lncRNA from 1 species
GAUGCCUGUCUAAGAAGACAGUUAGGGUAGAGCCAAAGGCAAAGGUCUGGGAGCCGAGAUCCACUCUUGCGUUUUGACCAUUUGUACCCAACCUGCUGGAGCUCUCGGGCUUGCCUCCUCCCUGAACGACUGCCUUUCUGAACCAUUUAAUUGCCCAAUCAUGAAAGCAAAGGCACGCUUCUUUACCCAGGAAUGGCUUCCAUCCUCACUUCUGCAUAGUUAAGUUCUCUGACUACAAGUGGUGGGUCCUGGGGUCUCUUGAGGAGAUGCUUAGCUGUAAAUGGGUCUCUCCAGGUUUGCCCUGGAGCAUACCAAUGAUCACAUCUCCACUGAAUUAAGUGUGAGUGUGUUCUAAAUAACCUUGAUGAAAUUCAAUGUCUGCCAGGCUGUGUCUAGCCUCUUGGUACCUGGUGGGAAAUACAGAGUGUAGGGCCAUCUUUGCACUUUGUGUGGGUUCUUUCCUUUGUAUCGGCUCCUUGUGACCCUACGCUUCAGGGAGUGUAGCUCCAAAUAACCUAACUUACAGCCUCUCUUGCUUCCUUUAAAUCUAUGAGUCAGAGCCUUUGAGGCAGGCUUUAGAAUGGCCUGAGAUUACUCAGAUGCAGGCUUUAAGUGAGAACCAAAUUCCACCAAGCCCUCUGGCAUCCUUCAGCAUUUUUCUAACUCUGGGUGCUCUCUGCCUUGCUUAUCCCGAGAGACCCCAUCGGCCUGUGCUAAGACCUGGCUUCUGUCCCUGGAGAUGUCAUCUUCCUUUCCUGAGAUAAUCCUUUCAGCCCAGCAUCUGGCCCCCAAGUGUGUGUGAUGAGAUCUGAUAGUUCCCCACAUCCAGCUAUGGUUCCUUCAACUCCUCUUGUGUUGCCACGCACCUGGACCAGGGAGUAUAAUCUGUCCUCCUGUGAUCACUAGCUCCACAGAGGGUGUCGUAUUAGUGACCCACAGGGUGGCCUGUGAGGACAUGGAAAUCGUUGGCAGGGACACUGGAAAUUCCUGAGUGCUUAGGCCAUAUUCUACCCCUAAAUGUCAAAUUAGCCUUCCUAUUGUCUUCAACCUGGGGUGGAAGCUGUUUCUUGUAAGCAGUGGCUGGGGAGAUGGAUGGAUUAUUGCCACGUGACCCACUAUUCAUGCGGAACCUGGUCUAUAAGAUACAUGGGACUGUCCUGGGUUGUUUUGGAGGUUGUGCGAACUAGACAUCCAAGUAGAAAGAAUAGCAUGGACACACUGGGAGGUAGGACUGUGUGAGACACAUCCUGGGUAUCAGUCUUCAGCAGGGUUGUCUUGAUCCAUUUUCUGUUACUAUAAGACAAUGCCAGAGACUGGGUAGCUUAUAAAGGAAAAUCCUAUAUGUUGGCUGGAUACCUAAGGCUAGGGGGAAGCAUCUGUUAAGAGGGGCUUCCCACUCUUUCAUGCUACAGUGGGCCAAAGGGUGGAUGUGACAUCAGGCGUGUACAGAUGUGACAGGAGCAAAGCUGUCCAGAGCUGAUUGCUCUGUAGCAUUUCCGUUCCCAAGAGAACCCAUCCAGUGUCACAAGAAAGACAUUAAUCCUUCUCUAAGGUGCCACCUCCACAUGUCACUGUGUUGGCAGCCAACCAAGUUUUAACAGGAGUUUUGCUGGGGCAAAUGACAUCCAAAUCACAGCAGGGUCAAAAGGGAGGGGGCAGCUGUGAGACAGAUCUUCCAGCCCCAUGGGUCUCCAAGGCCUGGGUAAGCGAGAAGUAUCCUAUCCCAUGAGCCCCGACAGCUCACCAAAUUCCCUGUACCCAGGCACCACUUCUCAUUCGCCUUUGCUUUUCUGUGUAUAUUCAUCCUGGUUUCCAUAGAAUUCUUUGUAGAUGUUGCCUAAAUGAGAAACCCGGGCCACUUGCUCAGAUAGAAGGGGCCCCUAGAAUCAAACCAAUGAAAACAAGCCAGGGCUUUAAGAUGUUAAUCAGAAGGCUUAUAAGAGCAUCCAAAGGAGCACGCUAUGCUGUUAGUAGUGCUGCUGUUACAGAUUUUGUGUGAGCUUCCUGUCACUUCGAUGAAACACCUAAGCUAAUUACCUUACUAACAGGAAAGGCUCCUUUAGACUCUGUUUCAGAGGAUUCGGUUAUGGCUGCUUGACCCUGGGCUUCAGAUAUGUGUGUGUCAGUACAGUCUGUCAUGGUGGAAGCGGAUGAUGGAGGAAACCUGUUCAUAGUCUGGCAGCCAAGAAGCAAAGGAAGUAAGAAAAGGCUUGGGGCCACAGUAUAUCCUUCAAGGCCAUAGCCCUAAUGAAUUAACUUCUUACUAGGCCCCACCUCUUAAAGGUCCCAUCUCUUUUCUCAGUUGUACCACAGACUGGGCACCAAACUGUUAACAAAUGGCUCUUGGGGAGCAUUCAGGAUCCAAACUGUAAGAGCUUCAGUGUGUUUGAGCACUGUGUGCUGUCUAAAAUCUAUGGUACUGUAGGGACAUGGGUCUGUCUUUUGGGACAUUGCCUGGACAGCGAUGAGCCUACAGAGAUGUCAGGCAGGCAGAUGGCAUACCAUCGCACCCUGCUUCAGGGACAAUAACUUCUUUUAACAACAUUGAGUGUGUGUUAGGGUUGAUCUGCCAGAAAAGAUCUUGCACCUCUGUGUGUGUGUGUGUGUGUGUGUGUGUGUGUGUGUGUGUGUGCGUGUGUGUGUGCAGCCUCCCCUCACCAUGCAACCAGCGUUCAGCUACUUCCUUGUUGCUCAGGGUGAGCAAUGCAUCCCAGUGUCCCCAGGACUCUCCUGGUUUUAGCUCCCAAAGUCUCUUUGGGGAAACUGCUCAGCCUUGGGUCCCUGGAGCCUCAUUCCCAGGAUUCCUCACUCCACAGGUCAUCAUGGGGUCAAACAACCUGAACUCAUCCCUCACUCUCAAAUGAGGCUGAUUCUUCGUCAUUAGGAGCACUCCGUGAGCAGAGUCGGAGACAAUGGCAGUUACAUCAAAGGGCAUUAAAGACCCAGAAGGUUCUUUCCCUCAGCUCUGUGACACCAGGCCAGCUGUAGCUCUCUCUGGGCCUGUUUUUUCACCAGGAAAGGAACUGCUGUGGAGACUGGAGACUCUACAGGCCACCCUAGGCGAACUCUGUGCAGCCCCAAAGGUGGUGUCACAGAGCUGUGACUCGAAGCCUGGUUUUUCUGCCCUCUUGUCUUUGCUCGUUAGCCACUUGAGUGACUCGGGCUCCUGAGCUGCUGUGAACCAGGACAAGUAGCUGUCCCUGUCACAUGUGGGUGACCACAUGGUCUUUAUGUCAAAUGAAUCUGUGGAGAGCCUGGGACCUAGUUACCACUCAGUGUCAGCUAAUAAGAAAUGUGAAGGCAAGGCUGGUGAGAUGGUAAAGGUGUUUGUUGCCAAACCUGGUAUCCUGGGUUUGAUCCCCAGGGUCCAUGAGGCAGAAAAUGGCUCCUGUAAGUUGUCCUCUGAUGUCCACACAAACAUCAUCAUCAUCAUCACCACCACCAUCAUCAUCAUCAUCAUCAUCAUCAAUCAUCUCACAGAGAGAAGGGAGAGAGAGAGAGAGAGAGAGAGAGAGAGAGAGAGAGAGAGGCUAAAACUUCUAUUUAUGUUAAACUGGGAGUGAUGAUAUUCACCUGCAAUUUCAGCCCCACCCCCACCCCCGGGAUGAUCAGGAGUUCAAGGUCACCCUUGACUAUAUAGUGAGUUCAAGGACAGCCUGGACUAUGUGAGACCCCGUCUUAAGAAGGAAUUAUUAAGACUGACAGUUGUAGUAACCUUAAGCCACUAACCAUUAGACCAGCAGUGGCCCAAACAAGCCACUGGUAGAUUCUGGAACCUUGCUGAGAAUAAACUUGGGAUGCCGUGGGCUCUCACCAGCUGGGUAGAUUCC